rnacentral:misc_RNA from 1 species
CGUUGAGAGGGACGCUGCACUCGGACCCGGCGGCAGGCGCGUGAACACAGCGUGCGGCUCCUGGGAGUCGAACGGGCACGCUGACAACUCGGCAUCGGCAGUGGGUCGAGAAAGCCAUCCGCACCAUCCAUGCUGGGAACAGCUGAGGCGAGGGACCUACAGGUGGCGGCAAGAAGCGGGGAGCCGUGAUACACCUGCAGGGGAGUGUCGACCGCCCGGUCGUCUGUGCCGCGUUCCUGCAGCGCUCGGUGCGGUGCCCGGAGGACAGCGACCGGACGGCCGAAGCAGCGCUGACGGCGAUGGUCGUGUGCCUCACCUGGGGCUGCCAGGCCCCCGCGGCAGCCCUGUGCGCACCCCCGGUGCUGGGCCCGCCCCAGCCUCCGCCGCAGACGACCGCCACAACGUUCUGCUCCGUGAUCCCCAUCCAUCCCUGGAAGCAGUCAUAUGGCAUGGAGCAAGUGUGGCAGGCCGAGUUCCAGAAGCUGUUCUCGCAGUACGUGCCCCAGACGUGGUACCUGCUGCCGGUCGUGCAGCGCCCCAUCGGCGUCAACUGGCAGACGUUCGUCGACUCGGCCAAAGUGCGCUUCUGCUGCGAGGAAUGCGGCCACGGCUGGACGUCCAUGAAGGGGCGCAUCUCGUUCUGGUUCCUGCUGACGAGCCACGGCGAGGGCCUGGUCACCUUCAAGCUGUACGGCCAGCAGUGCGACAAGUGCAAGGUGGGCCGCUAUGAGCCGGCCAUGUGGUACCCGGAGGAAGUGGUCAAGGUGCUGGUAAACAUCUACAACCGGGUGGGCCAAGUUUACUACGGCUUCCAGCAGCCGCCCAUCCACAAGAACCGGCGGCCGGGAAAGCCGCGAAACCCGCACAACGCUGAACUGUGCCAGGCCUGCAAGGACGGUGUCUGCUCCGAACGGAGGUGAUUGCGACGCAGUACGAAAGGCGACUCAGCGGAGUGUUAUAUAGACCACGGCGCACGACGGGGCUCUUCGAUCACACCUGUUGCGAAACUCAAUAUUGGACCCACGGCUCAUGAACGGCGGCGCUGAUUGGACCAUAAGUUGAAAACGUAGUCGCGCAGCUGUAGUUGAGCAAGCUAUGGGCAAGCACGAUACGCAGAUGGUUGUGGUUGCGCUUAUAUUCAAAGCAUUCAAAGCGAUAAAUGUCAAUUAUAGGGCAUGCUGCUAGCCGUCAACGUAUAGGCACAAUCCGUGGCCGAAUUCUGAAGUGCGGUUUCACAAGAGCACGGGUGUUAGUGAAUAUAAUUUUGCCGAGGUUGAGAAAUUCAGACCCACGAGCGCUGGCUUUUCGAUCACAGCCAAGCCUCGGUUGCACACACGUCAACAUGCGCCACACGUGGGAGCGUUCCUAAAGAAUAUAAGCUUGCUGCAAGGCAGGUGCGCCUUUCCCUUAUCGAUAGUAUUCGUGAACAAUUUGUCAAAAACGCGCACCACACGUACGCUCACCUUCCAUAGGAGGCGUUGGACCACGACUACCACAUUUGCGCCAGACUCCUAUAAAGAUUAUGUAAAAGCCCAGUGAGGAAGACAUUUCCACAGGGAUUAACGGAAAGAAAAAAGAAAGUGCUCGAGCAGCUCUAUAAACAAUUUAAGAACGGUACAUGCGGUUAGUAAAGCAGAGCUCUGCUUUUCCUUACAGCUGUUCAAAGUGUCUCCCCAAUCAUGUUGUAACAACAAACCCAUCUCUCUUCUCACAGAAGAGUGCUGCGAAGCAGGAAUCGCCAGCAUGAAUGUAUCAAAGUGGCAAUAUGCAUAAUUACGCACCAAACCAGUUUCCUUCUUUUUCUUUUCAACCAUAUGCCAACGGUCAGAGAAUGCCGAAUUAUAUUGCCUAUUAGUUUCUCCCUGGAUAUUUGUUCUGUCUGCUGGUCACUAUAAAUGCUGUCGAGCAGGUUGCUUUAUAACUAUGCAAUUUGACAUACGUUUCCAAAGGAUGAGGCAGUUAACGUGAAGCAGGACAAAGAUCACUCAACGCCCUUUUUCAUUAACUACUGCUAAUACAACAAGGUCAAAAUAUGUUUUUGACUGGCUCCUGAUUUGGCUCGACGCAAUUGCUACAACAGGUACCAGUGCUUUCGACCCCGCUAUCAUCAGUCAAGUUUCCUGUGGGAAUCUGUUCAUAAAUGCUUGCUGGCAGGAUGCUGUCCACCAGGACUGUUCUAUGAACAUGUCGCAUAUCUUUUGUUCCUUUUUCAUUAACUACUGAUAACACGACAUGGCCAAAAAUCUGUUUUCAACUGGCUCCUGAUUUGGCUCGACGCGAUUGCUACUACAGGUACCAGUGCUUUCGACCCCACAAUCAUUGGUCAAGUUUCUUGCCGGAAUCUCUUUAUAAAUGCUUGCUAGCAGGAUGCUAUCUACCAGGACUGUUCUAUGAAUAUUUCGCACAUUUUUGUUCUUUUGAAAGAGAAAUUUCGAGUUAAUGAAAUUUGCAAUUUAAUGAAGUUUUUUGCUGCAAGUGCAAUGUCAAUGCAUUGAAGUUGGACAUUUAUAGCCAAGUAAUAUAUCAGUUUCAUCAAAAUUGGACACCUUGAUUGAUGCAGUUACAGCAUUGAUGUGUUUUUAUUGAUAGUUUAAACUUUAGGCUUUUUCUUUGUCUUUCGGCAAGUUAUGGUAAAAAAUAAGAUUGAGUGCAUAAUAAGAAACUUUCACCAAACAAUCACUAGAAUUUAACUGUCGCUAUUAAGUGCAAAAAGUUAUAUUAAAGACACGGUGGUUACCCAAAACCAACAUUAUCUAUAAACGUUGCUCAAGAUGGGCAUUUCUGCAAUUCACAAUUAUUUGAGUAGGUGGGCUCAUGCAAUGUCGCCUCUUAACAGACUUCAGGAAAUGAAAAGCCACGUGCCUUCUUAUGUUGAUGCAUUACCUCUAGUGCAUCCGACUGUGUGAAUAUGCCAAAACGAUAAACGGGAGCCAAAGCCUUUCUCACACCUGUCAGCCCUUACACCCAGUUUCCUUUUUUUGUAAAGUAAAGCUUUACUCCUGCCACACAAACACACACAAGAAAAAAGCUUGCACCUGCACUGGUGAUUAAGUGACACUAAUGGUGAAAAACUGAAAACAUCCAACUAUGGUGCUCAAGGUAGAAUGCACGCAAGUUAAAAUUACGAUUUCCCUGAGGCAUGCACUUUGCCUGCAGUCACCAUGACUUGCAGUAAAGUAGAUUGAGAGAGAGAACCUGAUUUGCUGUCCAGUACCAAGUGAGCUAAAGGGGGAUAGCAGCAACAGAAGUAAACAAAACACUGCUUGCAUUUGGACAACCCCUACCAAGCAUAACUACAGAUUUCGUAUCACAUAUUAAAAUUAGUACAACUGUCAUUAGAGUGCUCAGGAGUUUGUGCCGUCUUGAAUUUACAGUGACAGCAUAUUUCUACGCCAUAAUAUUUAGGACUAUCAUAAUGUUGUUUUCAAGCUUGAAUCUUUACCAAGGUACCGUUUCAUGCCAUACUGUAGCCAAUGGCAUUUCAUGCAGCGCAUAAAUAAUUUGAGAAAAAUGAAGGGCCAACUUGCCCAUUUGUUCUAUUUCAUAAAAAAGUAUAGCCACACAUUUCUGAGCACAAACUAGAGGGAGUGAUGCUGAAGCAAUAAAAGAAAGCAAGUUUUCAGAAAGUUGAGAGUUAAAACAAACUUUGUCAGCAAUCUCGAUACUAACAGUCUGGGUAGCAGCAGUAAUUAUAAAGAUUGUUGAGGAACAUCUCACUGUUGAGGAACAACUAGCAUUCUUACAAGUGCUUACCUCAGAUGUUUUUAUUAUGUGCUCACAGCAUGGUGGAACACUACUUUUGAGUACACCUUGCAUGAUUGUAAGCAAUUUUUGUAAAGGUAUGGGAACUAUUUUGUUUUUCCUGCCUUGCUUCAUUUUGAUGACUGCUCAACAUGCAACCUAUAGUUGUAAGCGAUAUAAUAGUGAUGUAGAAUGUUUACUGAAAGGUGAUAACGAUAAAUAAAGCAGUAAUCCCCCUGCUGCUAAUAUUCAAAGCAAAUUUCUUAAUAAUAAUUUUGAUGCAAUAGAAGACUCACUUUGUGUCCAAAGAACAUAUGUACACACUAUGCUUGCUUUUCCAGAACCGUUUCCCAAGUUUCCAAUAUGCUUAUAUUAGCACCAAUUUUGUUACUUGUUACAAGUAGUUUCUUCAUAAAACUACAUUUCUGAAUGAACAAGUGCCUGCUUGUUGUCUUUCUCAUGUUUACAACAUUACCGUAAACACUAGCGAACGCUAUUCAUGCAUGCCUUAUUACUGUGGUCAAGUGUUGAGCUGAUGCAUAACCUCAAGUAACAUGCCUACCCAUUUACGAGUGUUUAGCAAUGCACAUAGCUUUUGCCACAAAGUGCACCAGCAAUCUCAAUUGCUCUUUCUGUUCCUGACUGUGUUUACAUCAGCUGUGAUGCACCUUGUUUUUUUUUUGCUUGUUUUAUCAUAACAAUGUCGCUUGCCUGUUGUUGUUCUAUUGAUGUCAAUUGUUGAAAACUUCAAUUCCAAGUUAUGUGUACAGUAGCAUACUUGUGCAUGCUCAAAACAUACUGUGCUGUGCAAUAAACUAAUUCUGCGACA